UAUAAAAGGGUGAAAAGGCUGCAACCUUCCCUCCCUCUCUUCUGUCUCAUAUCUCCCAUAUCUCAUGGCGCCAAGGAAUGAAAUGGCAGCAAACGUUAGGAGGACGAAUAAUACGUUGAAGAGGGUUGUGAAGAAAGAGGAGAAGAACCUGAAAAGGUUGAAAGAAAGUUUAGCAAAGAUGAAGGCAGAAACCGAAGAAACGUUGAGAGCCCUGGAAGAGCUUCGCCAGUCAAUGGCCCAAAUCAGGGAAGUGAUUCGUCUGCUGUUAGAUAACCCGCUUGAGGCUGAACUCACUGCGGCUUUACUUUGAUUACGUUUCUCAGUCUUUCAGGGAUCUUAUGCAGUUAGCUUCAUCGGUUGGCUGCGGGCUCGGCAAGGAUUUUUCCAUGGUUCCUGGUUUAUUUAUCCUUCUCGUUUUUAUUUUCUUAGAGUUAUUUGGUUUUCUUGAACUUUUUACAGCAUAUGCUUUUGGUGUGGAAUUGAAUGGUUGUAUUGCACUUGUAAAAUUAAUCUAAAUCUCCUUCUCUUAAAACAUUGCUUA